CCAGAGAAGUGAAACAGUUGAAGUCAAUGCACUUGAGAACAAGUGUAUCAGGAUGUCAGAGAGAGUCUAUGAACCUAUGAGCUCAAUACGACACGAAGAGAACACACCAGAUGACAUGAAGACCAUGGAUAUUGACAAGAAUGUAUAUGCAAGCCUGAAUCACAUGAAGCCCAGCAAAAACAGUGACGUUUCUGCUCAACAUUCAGUUUGGAGGAAACGUUUCAGGGCUGCGGUGUGUCUUGGGCUGCUGUCUGUUGUUCUGCUGGCUGGGAGUUUAUGCUUGUUACUCUACCUUAACUUCCCAAAACGAUUCUCAUUUCUAGCCAGUGAGGCCUCCCGAUUCCUGACAAAAUCAGUUUCCAAGAUUGUUUGGGGAUCAGUUAGCUCAAAAAGAGUGAACUUGGUGAAAUCCAACUUCAUAUGAAAAUAUUGUCAGUAUGUCUAAUUGAUCCAUAUUAUUCUACAGAGAGAAAUCACAUGGCCAUUUACUCUUUCUGCAGAGAGAGACCAGCUAGAGGUCAACUACAAAAACCUGAUUAAAGAAAAACUGCAGCUACAGACCAACUACGUUAACUUGACUAAAGACCGAGACAAGCUUCGGAGUGAGAACGAACAUCUGAAACUAUCUUCGGCAUUAAAAGGGUGUCAACCAGGAUGGCUGUCGCUCGGGAGCAGAUGUUACUACGUCUCAGCCGAGUUAAAAACCUGGGACCGGAGCAAACAGGACUGUCUGGAGAGAGGAGCAAACCUGGUGACCAUCAAAAGCCCUGAAGAACAGAAAUUUGUCAACUGGAUGUGUGGAGUGAAAAACUACGUCUGGAUUGGUCUGACGGAUUUGGCCACUGAGGGAAACUGGAAAUGGGUGGAUGGAACCCCACUGACCGCAGUGUAUUGGAAUGAAGGAGAGCCGGAUGGUGGUGAAGCUGAGAACUGUGGGUAUUUUUACUCCUGGUCAUCAGACUCUGGUGAAUGGUGGGACUCUUCCUGUUCUGACACACAUAGAUGGAUCUGUCAGAAAUAGGGUUCUCCAAAGGUGCUCUUUUUGCAACACUGAUUGUUCGAAGGCCGUAGAACAUUUUCUCUAAGAAUAUUUUGAACCGAAAACCGGCACACAUUCAUAUUGGCCUGCAUUCACUUUCAUGUAAAAUGUUUUAUUCAUUAAAAAUAUCUUAAAAUC